GACGAACGCUGGCGGCGUGCUUAACACAUGCAAGUCGAACGGUGAAGCUCCAGCUUGCUGGAGUGGAUCAGUGGCGAACGGGUGAGUAACACGUGAGCAACCUGCCCCUGACUCUGGAAUAAGCGCUGGAAACGGCGUCUAAUACUGGAUACGAGAAGGGUCCGCAUGGGCACUUUCUGGAAAGUUUUUCGGUUGGGGAUGGGCUCGCGGCCUAUCAGCUUGUUGGUGAGGUAAUGGCUCACCAAGGCGACGACGGGUAGCCGGCCUGAGAGGGCGAACGGCCACACUGGGACUGAGGCACGGACCAGACUCCUACGGGAGGCAGCAGUGGGGAAUAUUGCACAAUGGGCGAAAGCCUGAUGCAGCGGCGCCGCGUGAGGGAUGACGGCCUUCGGGUUGUAAACCUCUUUCAGCAGGGAAGAAGCGAAAGUGACGGUACCUGCAGAAGAAGCACCGGCUAACUACGUG
rnacentral:rRNA from 1 species